ACACUGUCCUCCACAGUGGUUGAACCAUCUACAUUCUCACCAACAGUGCAAAAGCAUUCCUAUUUCUCCACAGCCUUGCCAGCAUCUAUUGUUUCUUGACUUUUUAAUAAUUGCCAUUCUGACUGGCGUGGGAUGGUAUCUCACAGUGGUUUUGAUUUGCAUUUCUCUAAUGAUCAGUGAUGAUGCCCUUUUUUUUUCUUCAUAUGCUUGUUGGUUGCAUAAAUGCCUUCUUUUGGCUGAGCACAGCGGCUCACACCUGUAAUCCCAACACUUUUUGGGACUGAGGCAGGCAGAUCACCUGAGGCCAGGAGUUCAAGACCAGCCUGGCCAACCCACCUCUACUAAAAAUACAAAAAUUAGCUGGGUGUCGUGGCGGGCACCUGUAAUCCCAGCUACUCAGGAGGCUUUUAUGCUUCAAAAUGUUUUUUGAUAAUUUCUUCCUCUGUUUUUGCUCAGAAAGACAUUUUCCUAAGUUUCUUCUAUUGGCUUUAUAGUUCCAUCUUUCGUGUUUAACUCUUAAUUCACUGGAGGCCACUUUUCUGUAAAAUGUUACACAGGAAUCUUGCCUCAGUUUUCCUAAUACCAUCUAUUGAGCAAUCUACUGUUUAUUGUGGUGCCAUCUUUAUUAUACUUUAAAUUUUCUUUUCUUUUCUUUUCUUUUUUUGAGACAGAUUUUCACUCUUGUUGCCCAGGCUGGAGUGCUGUGGUGCGAUCUUGGCUCACUGCAAACUCCACCUCCCGGGUUCAAGCGAUUCUCCUGCCUCAGCCUCCUGAGUAGCUGGGAUUACAGGCAUAUGCCACCAUGCCUGGCUAAUUUUGUAUUUUUAGUAGAGAUGGGGUUUCUCCAUGUUGGUCAGGCUGGUCUCGAAUGAUCUGCCUGUCUCAGCCUCCCAAAGUGCUGGGAUUACAGGUGUGAGCCACUGCGCCCGGCCUAUAUUUUUACACACACACACACACACACACACACACACACACACACACACACACACAGCCUGAGCUCUAUUUUAUUCCAUUACAACCUAUACUUUAUCGCUUUUCCAUGAAACAGUGUUCCUAUUUAAAAAGUAAUAUACUUUGGAGAAUAUGCAUUCCCUGG
rnacentral:lncRNA from 1 species